CGUGAAAAUGCUCUCUUUCAGAUAGAGACUGCAGCUCUUGAGACUGCAGCUCUGGAUCCUGCCACUGGGGGUUCUGGGAAUUCUGUUGGCUAUUUUCUCAAGUGGUAGAAUUAUCCCAAACAAGUUACACAACCUCUGUGAUUUCUAAUUUCCAUAAUUCUAAAAUGAAAAGUUGGUUAAAAUCGGGAGUUGGCAAACUUUUUCAAUAAAAGGCCAGAUAGUAAAUGUGUUAGGCAUUGUGGUUCAUAUAGCCUCGGUAUAUGUGGUAGGCUUGUGGUCCAUAUAGCCUUGUUGCAUUUACUCAACUGGGUCACUAUAGUGCACAAGCAGCCACAGAUAAUACAUAAACAAAUAAGCCUGGCAGUAUUCCAGUACAACUUGAUUUACAAAAACAAGCAGUGGGCUGGAUAUGGCCCACUGGCUAUCGUUUGCAAGCUCCUGGUCUAAACGAUCUCCACGAUGACUUUCAGAUCUGCCAUUCCAUAGGUUCAUGAAACAGCAGUUCUUAAAUUCUUGAUAUACUUCAUAUUAGUUUUUAAAUAUACUUUUGUUGUGGUUGACCAGUUUAGAAAAUUUUACUGUGGCAUUAAAAGUGGUAAGAUUUGAGGUUUAACUUAUCAUGGGUCAGUUAGCUUCUCUCUGUUCCAUGACUGUACAUCACAGACAUCAACAAAUUCAUGGCCCUGCAUGGAGCCACAGAGCUCCAUGACUGGACAAAUGUCAUUCUUCCUUGUUUCUGAGAACACAACCUCAGCACAUGCUUCCUUAAUGAUAGUACAGCAGCAUCUAUAUACUGACAUUAUUUAGUUCCUUUCAAAAAAUAAAAUUAUUUUUAAGAAAAGUUGUUAAUAUAAUAUCUGGCAAAAGAAACCUAUAGGUAAAUAGGUAUGUUUCAUUAUGAAACUUUUAAAUAAGCCAAAUUGAUUUUUAUGGCUACUAAGCAAAAGAAUGGUUUAAAAAAAAGUAUGCUGUUAUGCAUGUAAGCUAAAGCAGAAUCGGCAAACUGUCUAUGUCAUAAAAGCCAACAAUUCUCUACUUUUCCAAUGGUAGACAUUGCUAAUCAAUCCUAGCAGUUUUCCCCACAGACUCUGAAUGGAUUCUCAUAAUUAUUCCAACUCGCUGAGCCAGGAAAUGAUGCCAAGUUGAUUGGCAUUACCAUGCCAGAUAAAAUCUAUUGUCACAGUGCAACAAAAGUUACUAUACUUUUUCUAUUCCAACCACCAAUUUAUUCUUGCUAAAAGAUGUAACCCUGGCUUCAGCAGCUAUAAAAUUCAACUCAACAAAAUGAAGAUAGGCCUAGCACUCUAAUACAGGAAUAAUGGCAACUGCAUUCACUUCGUGACAACAGAAUGAUACAUUAAGGGGUGAGAGAAAACUAUGAUUAUUUGCAGAAAGCAAUGCAUGUCUAAAAAUCCUAAGAAAUUUGCUUAUUAGCCUAUGUGAGUUUAUCAAAGUGACUAGGUUUAUAGUGAAUUCACUAUAAUUAGGGGAUUUCUUUAUUGUGGUAACCACUAGUUUAACAAAAAGAGAAGAAAUCCCAUUUAACAUAGCCACAAAAAAGGGUGGAGGGGACACAGAAAAAACCACUUUACUGAGGUCCUGGUAUUGCAGUUAAAGAGUUUAAUUAAUGCAAGGCUGCCAAGCAGAAGGACUGGGGUUAUCACUCAAAUCAGUCUCUCUGAUAAGGGGCUAGGGUUUGUAUGGAUAAUUUGGUGCACAGAGGGAUAGGGAAUGGGUGCCGAUGAUUGAUUUGGGAUGAAAUCACAGGGGUAUGGAAAAUGAUCCCAGUGUGCUGAGUCCUCCUUUGGGUGGGGGGCCACAGGACACACUGGUUGAGUCAUGAGUCACUGGUUGGAUAUGGUCAGUCAGUUGCCAGAAAACAAAAGUGAAAAAACAUCUCAAAAACCCAAUCGUAGGUUCUACAAUAGUGAUGUUAUCUAUGGGCGCAAUUGGGGAAGUCUUAAAUCUUGUGACCUCUGGCCACAUGAGUACUGAGCAGUAAGGGAUUAUAGAAACUAUGCCUACAUUUGAGCAGAAUUGAGGCUCCUCCCAUAAUACUAAUCUUGUGGCCUUUCAUUAGUUUUACAAAGGUGGCUUCAGUCCCGGACAAGGAGGGGAUCAGUCUUAGGGAGGGACUAUUAUCAUCCUUGGUUCAAAGUCAAACUAUAAACUAAAUUUCUUCCAUAGUGAGCUUGGCCUAUGCCCUGGAAUGAGCAAGGAGCACCACCUGUGAGGCAAGAAGCAUCUUGCCUCAGUCUCUCACUUUUAUCAUCUCUGCAAACGUGGUUUCAAACCAUGACAUUUAUAAAGAAAAUGAUAAAGAAUUGUAUGUGCCAUAUGUAAAGAAAAGUACAAAGCUUUAAUGGACUAUACAAAACAAGAUAAACAGAUUUAGAUAUAUAUUAUACAGAAAAACAAUGUUCACCAAGUGAAGUUAUUUACUGUUUGUUAAAUAUUGAAAUUCCACACUAACAAAGAAAGUGUGACUUAUGAUGCUGCUCUAGUCUCCAGAAUUUCCCCAGGAAAUCCUAAAACCUAAAGUAUAAGUUAUUACACUAAUUGAAUAAAGCAGUGUAAGACAUGUAGAAAUAAAUUCAACAUAUACUAUCAUAAAAUUAGGAAAAAAUAAGUUAGUAAUUACAUUUUAUUCAUUGUAUUCAUUUUUAUUUUUUAUCUUUAUUUUUAAAAUUUUGAGACAUAUCUCGCUUUGUCACCCAGGCUGGAGUGUAGUUGUGUGAUCAUGGCUCACUGUAGCCUCGUCUACUGAGCUCAAAUGAUCUUCCCACUUCAGCCUCCCAAACAGGUGGGACUACAGAUGUGUGCCACCAUGUCUGGCUAAUUAUGUUUUAAUAAUUGCCAGGAUAACUGGCUAAAAAACACAAAAACAAAAAGUAAUUUAAAUUAGCACUUAUGGUACAUAGCAGAGUAAGAUCAUAGUGCAUUAAAGAGUUAACUAUAUCCUUUAAUUUUUAGCAAACUAGGAGAAAUAUGCAUCAAAUAUCUGUGAAAUCUUUAGACAGCAUUUUUGAAAAGCUUAUGGCAACAAUGGAAAUCACACAAAAAAAUAGCUUAAAAACAUCAAGAAAAAGUGAUUUUAACAUAAAAAAACUAACAAUGAUUGAAACACACAAGAAGGGAAACAUAAUUAGGAAACAGGGAAGAAGUUAGUAUACAUAACAAAUUAAGGACUUAUCCAAAUCUUCAAAAAUAUUAAAACCUCAAGAGAUAAAUGGUCAGAGGACAUAAACAUACUAUUUGCAUAUGAAGAAAUUUAAGUAAAUUAGAUGCCUAAAUAAAUUCUUGGAAGGAUAUUUAUAAUAGCAAAAAACUGGAAACAAAAUACCCAGUAUAAAUUACAGUGCAUCAACUCAACAGACUGUUAUAUAGUCAUUAGAAUUAUUAUUAUGGAAACUGGAAAAUUUGUUAUUUAAUAUAAUUCAUAUUAUACACGUAGAAAAACAAAUGAAAAUUGUUAUUGAUAUAGAAUAGUGGAAUAAUGGCUUUUCUAUAAAUAAAAUUGAGGUGGAACAAGGGAACAGCUGUACUAGUUAUUGAACAUUAUUACUGAUUUUAACAUCUAUUGCAUUUUUCAACAUAGAGAUGAGAGCAAAAAAGUUAAACAGAAGAAAUCAGGGAUAUUAGUGCCAAAUGGUAAGUUAUUCAGCUUCCUAGAGUUACGAUCUUUCACCAUGCCAGAACUUUUACAGAGAACACUCACAUUUCCCAAAGGCACUGGGGAAGGUGAGGAACACGCUGUGGGAGUCACCAACCAUAUGUGAUGAUGGUUAUACCUUUGUCUAUGGGGCCUUAUUCUGGGAUAUCAGUGUCAUCAGUUUGUCUUUCUCCUUCCUGAUGCUUUAUUCUUAUCAUAAUUCUUUUUAAAGUUUGCAGUUUGCCUGGAUUUAGAUAAAGGUCUUCAUCUUUUAACUGUGAAUUUAUUUCUUGUAUGUAGCUCCUAACAUAUUUCAGUAUCCUCUUUGCCAUCCCUUGCCAUCUUGU